UACGAAGGGUGCUAGCGUUGUUCGGAAUCACUGGGCGUAAAGCGCGCGUAGGCGGCUUGUCAAGUCAGGGGUGAAAUCCUGAGGCUUAACCUCAGAAUUGCCUUUGAAACUGUCAAGCUAGAGUGUCGGAGGGGAUAGCGGAAUUCCUAAUGUAGCAGUGAAAUGCGUAGAUAUUAGGAGGAACACCGGUGGCGAAGGCGGCUAUCUGGACGACAACUGACGCUGAGGCGCGAAAGCGUGGGGAUCAAACAGG
rnacentral:rRNA from 1 species